rnacentral:rRNA from 1 species
UACGUAGGGUGCAAGCGUUAAUCGGAAUUACUGGGCGUAAAGCGUGCGCAGGCGGUUCGCUAAGACCGAUGUGAAAUCCCCGGGCUUAACCUGGGAACUGCAUUGGUGACUGGCGGGCUAGAGUAUGGCAGAGGGGGGUAGAAUUCCACGUGUAGCAGUGAAAUGCGUAAAGAUGUGGAGGAAUACCGAUGGCGAAGGCAGCCCCCUGGGCCAAUACUGACGCUCAUGCACGAAAGCGUGGGGAGCAAACAGG